GCUAAGGUCCCAAAGUCAUGGUUAAGUGGGAAACGAUGUGGGAAGGCCCAGACAGCCAGGAUGUUGGCUUAGAAGCAGCCAUCAUUUAAAGAAAGCGUAAUAGCUCACUGGUCGAGUCGGCCUGCGCGGAAGAUGUAACGGGGCUAAACCAUGCACCGAAGCUGCGGCAGCGACACUAUGUGUUGUUGGGUAGGGGAGCGUUCUGUAAGCCUGUGAAGGUGGCCUGUGAGGGUUGCUGGAGGUAUCAGAAGUGCGAAUGCUGACAUAAGUAACGAUAAAGCGGGUGAAAAGCCCGCUCGCCGGAAGACCAAGGGUUCCUGUCCAACGUUAAUCGGGGCAGGGUGAGUCGACCCCUAAGGCGAGGCCGAAAGGCGUAGUCGAUGGGAAACAGGUUAAUAUUCCUGUACUUGGUGUUACUGCGAAGGGGGGACGGAGAAGGCUAUGUUGGCCGGGCGACGGUUGUCCCGGUUUAAGCGUGUAGGCUGGUUUUCCAGGCAAAUCCGGAAAACCAAGGCUGAGGCGUGAUGACGAGGCACUACGGUGCUGAAGCGACAAAUGCCCUGCUUCCAGGAAAAGCCUCUAAGCAUCAGGUAACAUCAAAUCGUACCCCAAACCGACACAGGUGGUCAGGUAGAGAAUACCAAGGCGCUUGAGAGAACUCGGGUGAAGGAACUAGGCAAAAUGGUGCCGUAACUUCGGGAGAAGGCACGCUGAUAUGUAGGUGAAGCGACUUGCUCGUGGAGCUGAAAUCAGUCGAAGAUACCAGCUGGCUGCAACUGUUUAUUAAAAACACAGCACUGUGCAAACACGAAAGUGGACGUAUACGGUGUGACGCCUGCCCGGUGCCGGAAG
rnacentral:rRNA from 1 species